CAGUCGCCGCGGGAAUACGGAGAGUGCAAGCGUUAAUCGGAAUUACUGGGCGUAAAGCGCACGCAGGCGGUCUGUCAAGUCAGAUGUGAAAUCCCCGGGCUUAACCUGAGAACUGCAUUUGAAACUGGCAGGCUAGAGUCUUGUAGAGGGGGGUAGAAUUCCAGGUGUAGCGGUGAAAUGCGUAGAGAUCUGGAGGAAUACCGGUGGCGAAGGCGGCCCCCUGGACAAAGACUGACGCUCAGGUGCGAAAGCGUGGGGAGCAAACAGGAUUAGAUACCUCCGUAGUCCCUGUCUCUUAUAA
rnacentral:rRNA from 1 species